rnacentral:tRNA from 1 species
GCCUGGGUGGCUUAGUCGGUUGAGCGGCUGACUUCAGCUCAGGUCAUGAUCUCACAGCUCGAAGGCUCGUGAGUCCGAGCCCCACGUCAGGCU